rnacentral:rRNA from 1 species
AAUUCGAUGCAACGCGAAGAACUUACCUGGUCUUGACAUCCCGGAGACCCUUAGGAAACUAGGGGUGCUUCCAUCUGGAAGAAUCUGGAGACAGGUGCUGCAUGGCUGUCGUCAGCUCGUGUCGUGAGAUGUUGGGUUAAGUCCCGCAACGAGCGCAACCCUUGCCUUUAGUUGCCAGCAGUUCGGCUGGGCACUCUAAAGGGACUGCCGGUGUUAAACCGGAGGAAGGUGGGGAUGACGUCAAGUCCUCAUGGCCUUUAUGACCAGGGCUACACACGUACUACAAUGGCCGAUACAAAGGGCAGCGACACUGCGAGGUGAAGCCAAUCCCGUAAAAUCGGUCUCAGUCCGGAUUGGAGUCCGCAACUCGACUCCAUGAAGUUGGAAUCGCUAGUAAUCGUGGAUCAGCAUGCCACGGUGAAUACGUUCCCGGGCCUU